GAAGGCAUGAAUUGCGAGUCCCGGUGUUGGGGUAAAGGCUGCGAAGCUACAUGUACACUCCUGUCCUGUAUCUACACUAUCAAUGGAGAGACUCUUGUCACAAAUGCCACAUUUGAUCAGUUAUAUCCGAACUAUGACAACAAGCCUAAGAAUGAUGGUCGUCAAGCGCAACGUGUGGAGCAACCCGAAGACAAUACGAAACUAAAAAAUGAGGAUUAUUAUUAUUAGAAAAUUAAAUUAAAGGAUACGCUAGGAGACAAACGUCCUGGGACACGUGUCGCCAGCGACGUUGGGUGAAGUAGCGCAACGUUGCCGGACUUUGGUUGACAUCUUUGGCAAAGUCAACGUCGCUGUGGACAUAAGUUGCACGUUGUCACUGUAUAAAUCUGGUGACAUCGGCCGGUUUCAUUUGAUAUGUCGCCGAUACAUGUUUUGGGACAUUUUUUCCCAGUGUAUCCUUAUCUUAAUAUUUUUGCUAACUAAAG